AUCCAGCUGAUGAGUCUCAAAUAAGACGAAACGCGCUUUAAACUGGAU
rnacentral:hammerhead_ribozyme from 1 species